UUGAUCGCGUGGGAGCUGCGGCCUGGAAGAUUUGGAAGAUAGUUUCUCGUGAAAUUUCCAGUGAUCUUUUCUAAAUUUUGUGUCUUCGAAGUCUUCGUGGCUAGUACUGUGCGUUUAGCAAUGAAAUUGUUGUUUGUGCAAUGAUUCUUUCGAUGAAUUCGAUGAAGAUCGACGCUUCACUAGGUGCAGAUGCGUAUCAACGAAUGCUGAACGGUGUCUAAGCAGCGGCAGGACCACGUUUGCCAGCAGCCAUCGAUGCGACCGAAUGAAAUGGCUGGAUGGCGGGGACGGGCGGAUGGGGGGAGCAGACGGUCCAGAAGAGAAUGCAGGCAAGAAUCACGGCCGGGGGAUCGAGAGAUCGAGUUCCCGCGGCAGGUGCGAACUCGUCGAGGACAAGGGGUUGACUACAGAACGUCCGAAGUUCCAGCGAGGAACACCGAUUAAACCGAGAAGAUCACUUCAAGCAACCAGCCGCGACGCGAGCAAACGACGCACCCCCGAAGCGGCACGAGGCACCCAAAAGACAAUCAAGAACCGAGGACGCGUCCGACAGUCGCAACUGAAGAGCCUCGCGGGCAAAGCGCCGAGGUGACCUGACGGACGCGUUCCAGGGGGUCGCGGUUUCCGGGCGAGCCGCCGGCUUUGUCGCCGAGCGGUCAGGGAAGCGAAGACGGCGAGCGCGUGGAGCCUCGACAGGUUCGGUCGCCCUUUGGCCGCGUCCUAACAGCGGCUGUGAUUUAAUUUUUUUUCUCGCUGUCCGAGAGGAGCCGGCGAGGGAGAGAGAGAGAGAGAGAGGGCGGUAUCAUAUUCACGGGUCCGGAAAAGCGGGGGACGCCGAAGGACCACCGGCGAGAGAGCGGAAUCAACUGGACCGGAGCGAGUCGGAGCGAUCGAGGGGUGGCUGGAGGGAGGAGUGCAGCGGCGCGCGGGGCGAGAUGGAUGGAUCGGCGGAGAGAAAGGGGGCGAGGACGAGUAGUCUCGGCGAGACUUAAUUAAACAGCGGGCAAAGCCAGGUUGUACAGCUUUGGAGACUCUAUGGGCGCCGGGAGAAGACAAUGCUGAUCGACUAGUCAGAUAUCGGAGCGUUUGGAGAGGAUUCCUCGGGCUCGAUCUUUAGGAGACGGAGCUCAGUUUGAUCAAAGGUUUCCGGGAUUUUAAGGUUAUGGUUUGUCUUGCAGGUCCUUAACGAGCCCGGAACACCGGAGUCAGCUUCGAAUUUCAGUGUUGUUCUUAAUCCGUGAUUGGAAGUUAGGAUCUUUAAUGGGAAGAAUUUUAGGGUGUUUAGGUGGUAUUUGAUGGGGAUGGUUUUUAGUCGUGAUCUGUUGAAGGAAAUUGGAAUUUAAUCAAUUGUAUUGAUUGGUUCAGUUUUGUGCAAUGAGACGUUUGUCUUGGAGAUCGAGUCGGGUUGAAUUGAUGGAUUGGCUUUUGGGGGUUGAGUUUGUUUGUUUUGGGAAUAAUUUAAUUAGUAAUUGUGUUGUUAGUGUUAUUGGUGUAAGUUCAUUGGUUAAUGGAGAGUUGUCAGUGAACUGUAGGAGUUUGUAUUAGGCUAAGUGAAUUUUAUUUUUCAGUGAAGUUUCGGUCUGUUUCUCAUGAGCUCCGUCGGCGUUUAAAUUCUUCGAUCACGAUUUAUUAAUAUUUUGAAGACGUACACGUCUCGAGGGAAGCAAAGACACAAAGAAAACAAGGCUCGAGAAGCUCUCUCGACGCGUCAGAAAAAGAAGCAGGAAGCCGCGACGAGUAGUUGUUUGUUUAGACAGGUUUAAAGCGCUUUUUAUCCCCCGCCAACAACAAUCUUAUCUCGAUACAUCUUGAACGCAUCUCGGGACCACGCGACCGGCUGAAUACACAAAGCGUACCGCCGCACAUGGACAGUGUUUCGAAAUUCGAACGAAAAGCGGAAACAACGCGAGCCAGCCUCGAUUCAGCGUGUCUAGAUUUCUAUUACACUGUUCUAUCAAACGAUAAAUCUAUCUUCCGACAGUAUUCUCUAUAUUUCUACUUCCCUGUGAACAAACACAUCGAUAAAGCUACUACAAUUAAAACACCUUACCCUACAUUUAACCACUAAUUCACUAAAACGAUAUACAAAAAUCACAGAAAUCUCCCUUGAAACAGUGCGAACGUUCGUCUAUUUCCAAGCUGUAACAAUGAAAAUAAUUACAAGGAGAAUGGAUAAACAAAUUCAAUUUAAUCCUAACCGAUAGGCACUUCUUAAGUUAAACAGUUAAACUAUUAACCCCUUGACCUAUGAUAUCUUCCUCAACUCUGAUCGAUACGACUACUUUGUCAUUAAUAAUUCAUUGGAAAAAGAGAAAAAUUCUAAGCAUAUGUGGCGAAGAUUUCAAACAGAAUUCAACAAGCAUGAACACUACUCAAUUCUAUUGAACCCAAAUGAAAUGUUAUUCUUCUGUUAUCACUUGUUAUGCAUCGGAGCAAACACAGACACAGGAUGCCCCCAAAAUUUCUCUUUUCUCCAAUAAACUGUUAACAACAAAGUAGUCGUAUCGAUCAUGGUUCUGAAAUAAAUCAUAGCGCAAGGGGUUAAAAGGGGGUAGUUCUUUUCUUGUUACCACUCGUUAUGCAUCAGAGCAAACACAGACACAGGACGCGCCCAAAAUUUCUCUUUUUUCCAAUAAACUGUUAACAACAAAGUAGUCGUGUCGAUCGUGGUUCUGAAAUAAAUCAUGGCGCAAGGGGUUAA